CAGCAGCCGCGGGAAUACGUAGGGUGCAAGCGUUACUCGGAAUUACUGGGCGUAAAGCGUGCGUAGGUGGUUGUUUAAGUCUGCUGUGAAAGCCCUGGGCUCAACCUGGGAAUUGCAGUGGAUACUGGGCAACUAGAGUAAGGUAGAGGAUAGUGGAAUUUCCGGUGUAGCAGUGAAAUGCGUAGAGAUCGGAAGGAACAUCUGUGGCGAAGGCGACUAUCUGGGCCAUUACUGACACUGAGGCACGAAAGCUAGGGGAGCAAACAGGAUUAGAUACCCCGGUAGUCCCUGUCUCUUAUAC
rnacentral:rRNA from 1 species